GGCCUGCUGGCGCAAUGGUAGCGCGUCCGCUUCCGGGUUCGGAGAGUGCGGAAGGUUGUCGAUUCGAGUUCGGCGUGGGUCG